rnacentral:rRNA from 1 species
CCUACGGGUGGCAGCAGUGAGGAAUAUUGGUCAAUGGGCGCGAGCCUGAACCAGCCAAGUAGCGUGAAGGAUGACUGCCCUACGGGUUGUAAACUUCUUUUAUAAAGGAAGAAAGUGAGGCACGUGUGCCUUUUUGUAUGUACUGUAUGAAUAAGGAGCGGCUAACUCCGUGCCAGCAGCCGCGGUAAUACGGAGGAUCCGAGCGUUCUCCGGAUUUAUUGGGUUUAAAGGGAGCGUAGAUGGGUUGUUAAGUCAGUUGUGAAAGUUUGCGGCGAAACCGUAAAAUGGCAAUUGAGACUGGCAGUCUUUAUUACAGUUGCGGUAGGCGGAAUUCGUGGUGUAGCGGUGCAAUGCUUCGAUAUCACG